rnacentral:rRNA from 1 species
UACAGAGGUCCCGAGCGUUUGUUCGGAUUCAUUGGGCGUAAAGGGUGCGUAGGCGGUGGGGUAAGUUGGAUGUGAAAUCUUGGGGCUUAACCUCAAAAUUGCAUUCAAUACUGCUCCGCUCGAGUUCUGUAGAGGAGAUUGGAAUUUACGGUGUAGCAGUGAAAUGUGUAGAUAUCGUAAGGAACGCCAGUGGCGAAAGCGAAUCUCUGGGCAGCAACUGACGCUGAGGCACGAAGGCCAGGGGAGCAAACGGG